rnacentral:rRNA from 1 species
GUGGGGAAUUUUGGACAAUGGGCGCAAGCCUGAUCCAGCAAUGCCGCGUGCAGGAAGAAGGCCUUCGGGUUGUAAACUGCUUUUGUACGGAACGAAACGGUCCUGGCUAAUAUCCGGGGCUAAUGACGGUACCGUAAGAAUAAGCACCGGCUAACUACGUGCCAGCAGCCGCGGUAAUACGUAGGGUGCGAGCGUUAAUCGGAAUUACUGGGCGUAAAGCGUGCGCAGGCGGUGCUGUAAGACAGGCGUGAAAUCCCCGGGCUCAACCUGGGAAUUGCGCUUGUGACUGCAGUGCUGUAGUGCGGCAGAGGGGGAUGGAAUUCCGCGUGUAGCAGUGAAAUGCGUAGAUAUGCGGAGGAACACCGAUGGCGAAGGCAAUCCCCUGGGCCUGCACUGACGCUCAUGCACGAAAGCGUGGGGAGCAAACAGGAUUAGAUACCCCAGUAGUCC